AACCGGUUCGAACCGGCCGGUCAAACCGGUCGAACCGUGAACCGGUCGCUGUAACGGUUCGGAUAAUAAGAAAAACUGUAGAUUUUGAAAACCGGACUUGAACUGACGAACCGGCCGGUUAUCGGUCGGUCGAACCGAACUGGGACCUAGCCGGUUUUUUAACAUUGCAGCAAAAUGCCGCCGUUUUGUGCUGAGGCCUGAGGGAACCCUAAUUCCCUUUUCUCCUUCGUAGCCUCCACUUCCUCGUUCCUCCAGCUUCUGCUUCUCAGUUCUCAACUCCAGCCUCCCACAGAACAGAACACCACCCAGUCACCCACGACUCCAGGAGGCCCUCAACGCACUCACCGCCGUCGCACUCACCUCAACGCACUCACCUCCGUCGCGCCUUCAGCACGGUCACGCCGUCACCAGCGUCGCGCCGUCAGCUCCCUGGCGCCGUUGGGUCCGUCGUGCCUUCCGAUACCUCGCACAGUCAGCACCUUCCCGCCGUCAGCUCCGUCGCGCGCUCAGCUCCGUCGUGCCCUCAGCCACUUCGCAUGUCACCUCCGUCGAGCUCUGCCUCUGAGAAAGCAAUAGAGAAGCGUUGAAGCGUUGAAGCGUUGUCCUUCGAGCUCUGAGACAAAGCAACAAAUUUCCUCAUUUCCAGGAAUGAAAGAAAAAAAAGAAAGCAAAAGUCGCAAUAUGAUCCAAUCGAUAUUGAAACUAUUGAUAAGGUUGAUUUUUGGGUGACGGAAGAAGUUGUUGAAAAAGAGCCUGAUCUUCCAAGUAAUAUUGAAGACUUGCUUCAUGAGAUUGAUGCUGAUUUAGAUCAAGGUGGUGGUGGUAGUAGUACUAGUACAUUUUAUGCUGCACCACUUGCUUUUUCUGGUCCAAGUAGUGGAAAUGAAGGUGAUGAAAUCAAUGAGGCAAAUCUGCAGCAAAUUAUGGAGGAUUUUGAUGAUUCAUGACAAACUUGGAUCAUUUUGAUGAUGCUAUGUUAGGUUUGAUUGGUUG